CCUACGGGUGGCAGCAGUGGGGAAUAUUGGACAAUGGGCGAAAGCCUGAUCCAGCCAUGCCGCGUGUGUGAAGAAGGCCUUCGGGUUGUAAAGCACUUUCAGUGGGGAAGAAAGCCUUGGGGCUAAUACCCUCGAGGAAGGACAUCACCCACAGAAGAAGCACCGGCUAACUCCGUGCCAGCAGCCGCGGUAAUACGGAGGGUGCGAGCGUUAAUCGGAAUUACUGGGCGUAAAGCGCGCGUAGGCGGUCUGAUAAGCCGGUUGUGAAAGCCCCGGGCUCAACCUGGGAACGGCAUCCGGAACUGUCAGGAUAGAGUGCAGGAGAGGAAGGUAGAAUUCCCGGUGUAGCGGUGAAAUGCGUAGAGAUCGGGAGGAAUACCAGUGGCGAAGGCGGCCUUCUGGACUGACACUGACGCCGAGGUGCGAAAGCGUGGGUAGCAAACAGGAUUAGAUACCCCAGUAGUC
rnacentral:rRNA from 1 species